CAUGUGUAACGAAGCCCAACUAAUUUUUUUUGUGUGUGUAUUUUUAGUAGAGACGAGGUUUUGCCACAUUGGGCAGGCUGAUCUUGAACUUCUGAUUCCAGGUGAUCCACCCGCCUCUGUCCCUCAAAGUGCUGGGAUUACAGCUCCGCCAUUCCAGCCAUAGCAAAUGGCACAUGGAGAAUAACUAAGGAACCCAGCCAACAACAAGAACUGAGGUCUCAGACAUAGGGGCCCGGUUGAGUAGUCCCAGCAAUUCCAGCCAUUCUAGCCAUGCCAGCCAAGAUCCAAUCACUGGAGCAGAGAGUCUCCAUCAGAGGCCUCUGAGUGGGCCUACAGGAUGCCUAGAUGGAAGGAUCCAAGUUCCUCAUUGAGAAGAGCAGCCAACAGAGCCACCAGGCCAAGAAUAUUGGCUCUGAAACUUGCCUAAAAAAGAAAUCAUCUUUAUAAUGUGAUAAGCCACUGAGACUUGGAGUUGCUUGUUAUAGCCAUCAACCUAGCUUGUCCAAUGUAAUGAUGUCUCCAUCAGAAAUCAGAAAAAGAAGCAAGAAAAAUUCUUAUGUGUUGGAAUGAUCACAGGUGGUUUCUUCAGGGGUUAGUAUUUGAGUUCCUUUAGUUAGAAAUGACAGAGGAGGACAGAUGGUGAAUGUUGUUACUAGCUUCAGAUUUUAUUGUGGUAAUUUUCCCACCUUCUCCAGAACAAAUAUUUACUGGAUAAAGCAUUUUCCACUUAACUUCUCAGAUGUUAUUAAGCCAAGAAUGCCUCCUUUUCAAAUGAAAUCUAAUAUGAAAUCCUGUUAUUUAAACAGAUACUAGUUUAGUUACUCUUAUUGAAGUAAAAAGAGGGGUAGUUCUGACUUCUUGGCCACUUUCUUACUAAUCACAUCCCCCUAGAUCACUCCUAUGGAACUCUCAAAUGCUGAGAAAUAGAACUUGAGCACCAAUGCUUCAGAAUACACUCAGAUAUAACAUGAUAGGCUUGCUCUAGCUCUUCAAGGGGGAACCACAACAUGUGAUGGAUUAGAGGAUACAGCAGCAAAUUGUGGGGUUGAGCAGGAAGCAAGUCUAAUUAUCCAAGAGAGACCACCCUUAAACGGUCUCGUCAACAGAAGUAGUUUGCCCAAUAUGUCUGUUUCUCUACAAUAUACAUUCACUUUUUAAAGCUAAAGUUCUGCAUGUUUCUUUCUUAUAAGAAUGAUCAUUUAAAAAUGAAGCUAAGAUUUUCCCAAAAGUAGCCACUCUGGAGAGGAUUCUGGGACAAUGGUGGAAUAGGAAACACCAGGAAUCUGUGUCCACACAUAGACAACAAUUGCACUGGCAGAAUCUGUUAAUGUAAUUAUUUUGGAAUUAUGGAGUCGUGCUUUUAGGGGAAAGCUUGGGUAAUCGGCUGCUUAGUUACAGAUUAAUUCAGCUUUUAGCACAGCACCUACCCACUCUCACCACCAGCCCUGUAACAGGCAACUGUGCAUAUGAUCCUGGAGCAAUGUGCAUACAUCUUAAGGAAGCCAGGGUGGGCAAAAAAUUCUAUCCUUCAACUAGUAAGGAUUUGUGCUCUCAUUGCUGACUACUUCUUUUGAUCACAGAAGUACAGACGAAAGGGAGGGGUCUACAUUGUUUUACCACCCCCACAAUCUCUUACUGCAAUUCUCACUCUUUUUGGCUGAAGUGACUCCAAAGAAUUUAAAGGAUAAGUGCUCCUCUUUUGGUUCCCUGCUUUAUUUUUCUUUUUCUCAUUUGGAAGCCAGACACUGAAUCGCAGGACAUUGAAAAGCAACUACAUAUACGGGGAAAAUUAGAAAAUGAUCAUGCAUGACUAGGGAAAGGCACAGGAUCAGAAAAGAGCUGACAAAACCUUAGGUUUAUACCUUAGACUAAUCUUUGCCACAGAGGCAGACUACAACAAUAAAACCAAUAAAAAAAAUCAAACUCUGGGUAAGGAGAAUCUGACUUGGAGAGUUACUACAUUAUUAGAUUCUAAUGUCCAGUUCUCAACAAAAACAAUUAGAAGCACACAAAUAGGCAAGUAUAGCUCAUUCAAAGGGACAAAAAAUAAAUAAACAGGAACUGUCCAUAAAAAAGACCUGUAGGCCGGGCACGGUGGCUCACACCUGUAAUCCACUUUGGGAGGCUGAGGUAGGUGGAUCACGAGGUCGAGAGAUUGAGACCAUCCUGAUCGACAUGGUGAAACCCCGUCUCUACUAAAAAUACAAAAAAAUUAGCUGGGCACAGUGGUGCAUGCCUGCAAUCCGAGCUACUCAGGAGGCUGAAGCAGGAGAAUUGCCUGAACCCAGGAGGCGGAGGUUGCGGUGAGCCGAGGUCGCGCCAUUGCACUCCAGCCUGGGUAACAAGAGCGAAACUCCGUCUCAAAAAAAAAAAAAAGACCUGUAGCAGUUCUGCUAGAUUAAAGGUACUCAAAAAACUAUAGGAAAAUAUGUAGGAUAUCACGAAAAUGUUGUAUGAACAAAAUAGAAAAAGCAAUAAAGAUUAAACCUAAAAAGAAACCAAAAAGAAGUUCUGGAGGUAAAAAGCACCAUAACUGAAAUGAAAGACUUAUUAGACAGAUUCAAAGGCAGAUUAGAGUAAGCAGAAGAAAGAAUCAACAAAUCAAUAAGAUAAGACAAUAGAAAUUAACAGGUAUGAGGAACAGAAAGAAAAAGAUUGACGUGAACAGAACCUUAAGAGCCUGUGGGACACGAUGAAGUAGACUAACAUAUGCAUUGUGGGAGUCCCAGAAAGAAAUGAGAAAGAGAAAAGAGAAGAAAAUAUUUUCAGAAAUUAUGACUGAAAAUAUAUCAAAUUUGAUAAAAUACAUCAAUAUAAACAUCCAACAAUCUCAACAAUAUCCAAGUAAGAUGAACUCAAAGAUACUCACACUGAGACACAAUAUAAUUAAGCUUCCAAAAUCCAAAGACAAAGAGAGCAUCUUGAAAGUGACAAGAGAGAAACAACUCUUCACAUACAAGGGACCCUCAAUAAUAUUAUUAUCAAAUUUCUUAUCUGAAAUUUUUGAGACCAGAAGGCAGUCAGCCAAUAUAUUUAAAGUCCUAAAAGCAAAACAAAACAUAAGCAACAACAAAAAUCAACCAAGAAUUCAGCAACAUCCAACAAAACUGUUUUUAAAAGUGAGAAGAAAAUUAAGGCAUUCCUAGAUAUACAAAGCUAAGGGAGUUCAUUACCAUUAAACCUGCCUUGCAAGAAAUACUCAAAGGAGUUCUGUAGGGUAAAAUGAAAAAAAUCAAGACAGUGAUUCAAAGCCAUAUGAAGAAAUAAGAUAUCAAUAAAAAUAAAUACAAGGACAAUUAUAAAAGCUAAUAUUAUCUUAAUAUGACUUAAAACUUCACUUUUUUAUAUGAUUUAAGAGGCUAAUAUGUUUAAAAAAUUAUUAGUCUAAGAGCAAGUAGUAUUAUGACCUUUUAUUGUAACUGCACAUCUUGUUUUACACAUGGUUGAAGAAAUUAGUACAUUUAAAAGUAUUAUUAGUUUAUAUUUUGUGGCACAUGAUAUAUGCACAUAUAAUUUUAUGAUUACAUGUAUGCACAUAUAAUUUUGUGCAUACUACUAAA